rnacentral:rRNA from 1 species
UGGGGAAUUUUGGACAAUGGGGGAAACCCUGAUCCAGCCAUCCCGCGUGUGCGAUGAAGGCCUUCGGGUUGUAAAGCACUUUUGGCAGGAAAGAAACGUCAUGGGUUAAUACCCCGUGAAACUGACGGUACCUGCAGAAUAAGCACCGGCUAACUACGUGCCAGCAGCCGCGGUAAUACGUAGGGAGCAAGCGUUAAUCGGAAUUACUGGGCGUAAAGCGUGCGCAGGCGGUUCGGAAAGAAAGAUGUGAAAUCCCAGAGCUCAACUUUGGAACUGCAUUUUUAACUACCGGGCUAGAGUGUGUCAGAGGGAGGUGGAAUUCCGCGUGUAGCAGUGAAAUGCGUAGAUAUGCGGAGGAACACCGAUGGCGAAGGCAGCCUCCUGGGAUAACACUGACGCUCAUGCACGAAAGCGUGGGGAGCAAACAGG